AGGACGAACGCUGGCGGCGCGCUUAACACAUGCAAGUCGAACGUGAAGCUGGAGCUUGCUCCGGUGGAAAGUGGCGAACGGGUGCGUAACACGUGAGCAACCUGCCCCCGAAGACUGGGAUAACACCGGGAAACCGGUGCUAAUACCGGAUACCUUCUUCCGAUCGCAUGGUUGGAUGAAGAAAUGGAUUCCGCUUCGGGAUGGGCUCGCGGCCUAUCAGCUUGUUGGUGAGGUAACGGCCCACCAAGGCGACGACGGGUAGCUGGUCUGAGAGGACGACCAGCCACACUGGGACUGAGACACGGCCCAGACUCCUACGGGAGGCAGCAGUGGGGAAUCUUGCUCAAUGGGCGAAAGCCUGAAGCAGCGACGCCGCGUGCGGGAUGAAGGCCCUCGGGUUGUAAACCGCUUUCAGCAGGGACGAAAUUGACGGUACCUGCAGAAGAAGGCCCGGCCAACUACGCGCCAGCAGCCGCGGUAA
rnacentral:rRNA from 1 species